rnacentral:rRNA from 1 species
UAGUUAUUAGACACGUCCCAAAGUCCUACGGGGGGCAGCAGUAGGGAAUCUUCCACAAUGGACGCAAGUCUGAUGGAGCAACGCCGCGUGAGUGAAGAAGGCUUUCGGGUCGUAAAACUCUGUUGUUGGAGAAGAAUGGUCGGCAGAGUAACUGUUGUCGGCGUGACGGUAUCCAACCAGAAAGCCACGGCUAACUACGUGCCAGCAGCCGCGGUAAUACGUAGGUGGCAAGCGUUAUCCGGAUUUAUUGGGCGUAAAGCGAGCGCAGGCGGUUUUUUAAGUCUGAUGUGAAAGCCCUCGGCUUAACCGAGGAAGCGCAUCGGAAACUGGGAAACUUGAGUGCAGAAGAGGACAGUGGAACUCCAUGUGUAGCGGUGAAAUGCGUAGAUAUAUGGAAGAACACCAGUGGCGAAGGCGGCUGUCUGGUCUGUAACUGACGCUGAGGCUCGAAAGCAUGGGUAGCGAACAGGAUUAGAUACCCAUGUAGUCCAAGCAGUAAACUAUGGGUGCCAGGUGUUGGAGAGUA